UAUAUGUAGGAAGCAGCCUGCCCACAGCAGAAAUCUUUGCACCAACAGCCGGGGAAAAUCACACAUCCACAAACCUUUAAAGAAAUAUUUCUCUUCCCCCAGGACAUCUCCUUCCUGCCUUGUAGCUGUUGAUAGGAUCCUCCUCCCCAGAAAUCCUGGGGUCUGAGCUGCAAAGCAGCAAGCCCCCCACCCCCAAAAUGCAAGAUUCGCAUUUCCUUGUAACAGCUCCUGCUAUUCUCCCAGGAAGACUUCACCCAGCCUUUCUCCAAAACAACAUCAAGGAUGGAGUUGAAUGUUUCUUCUCUAUUAAUGGGUCCUACCUUCCUUCAUUAAGAUUAUUUCUACAGUCCUCUACAACAUGACGUCUCAAGCUUCAAUCUGCUAGGAGGUCCUUCUGACGCUCCAAAAAGGCAGCUUUUAUGAGUCUCCCCAAAGGUGCUACUUUCUUGUCACUGAGGUUCAUCUGAGAGAAAUUUCACUGAGAGAUUCUCCUAUGCAACAAGAAGGGAUAAAUCGACUCCAAGAUCACAUGUGGCCAUCCCUCAAAGCAUUUAGUGCACAAACACUAAACUUCCACAUACUUUGCAAAAUUCCCAAACAGAUUUGAACGUUGCCAGAAUUGUAAUUUUAAUACAACCGACAGGAAAAGGACUAAAUGUAGGACAGUAUCGUGAGUAUACUAAGGACAAAGUUGAACCUGACUCCUGAUCGCUGAAUUUCCCGCCCCCCACCCCCUUGGCAGCAAUACUGAGAUCAUUUGCCUUUAGCAAGAGAGGUUCUGACUUUCCAGUCUAGAUCACAACCUGGAUUUCCCAGACUAUCCCACAUCCAAAUACUAACCAGUGCUGAUCCUGUUUAGCUUUUGAGAUCAACCAAGGUCAACUGGAUGCUGUUUCUCUAAUUAAAUGCAAAGCAAUGAGUUGCAUGUGAUCACCCUACUCCCCACGAAGUGCACAAAGAAUUAAAGUUCUGCAUAUAAAAGGUUCCAGAAAGAAGGAAGGCAGAGUGUAACAACUAAAGAUGAUUCUUCUACAUAUUGGAUAUGAUGAUCAAAGCAAACACAAAGAAGAUUAUAGCAAGAAGGCUGUCUUCUCUGACUUGCAAGGAUGUGGAAACUUUGUCUGGUUAAGGGUCAUCUUGGCUGUUGAGUAGCAUAUCACCAAACAGUGAGCCA